CCCAUCCCCGACCCUGGGAGGGCAGAGGCGUGGGCCCGGCCCCUGCGUGUGGCCCUCCGCCCGCAGCAGCCCCUUCCCCCGGGCGCAGCUCUGAGAGCUGCAGAGCUGAAGUUUGGCGAGGCGGGACGCUCUGCGGACGUUUCAUCAGAUGAAACAGUAAGAUGUCCAAAAGGUACUCCUUCCCACAGCCUCCCAGGACUGCUACCAGAUACAUGUGACGACUGACAAGAGAUAAGUUAAAAUAAAUAACUGGAAGUAAAUGAAAACAUGGAAACAGUCAAGGAGUCAUAGGACCAAAGAGCAUGAUACUCCAGGCUAGUAAUUUCACUAUUCAAUGCCCUGAGUUUUGUUGCCGUUUCCUAUAUAGGCAGCCUCAGCAAGCCUAGAGGAUGCAGAGUCGACCUGAGUUAAGAUAUGUGCUGUGAGUGAAAAAGCUUGAUUCAGUUUUUCUCCUGAGGAGAAGGUGGCUGCUUCAGUUCUGCUGCACCUCAGGAUGUGUUGUACCUAGGCAAGUCUCACAUCAUUUCAUGUCCUGCUAUCAAAAGUUUCAUUGCCUUUAUGCUACUUAAAAAAGCUAUGUUAAAAUGCACACACAUAUGUAGGCUGAUUAAAUAACCUUUUGUUCCCUAACUCUAAAACAUAUUUUUUUUUCCCUUUGCUACUACGUGGAUCAAGCAGCUCUAGAGUCUAUGAAGUGAGCCUAAUUUAUUCCUGACUUGUGCUGGAAUAAUUUAUGUUCUUGAGCCUUUGCAGAUGUAUAGUCACUAGAGAGCUGCCUGCUUACGGGAGUUUUUACACAUAUUUUGUCUAAAUCAGAGCUCCAAAUGCAAUGUCGGAGAUGCAGGGAGUUUGUGUGGAUUUGUAGCACUCCCUGGAGGACUCUGUGUCUAUAAACCAAUAAACAUUUCACAAUUCUCAGCAAGUGAAGAUUUUCAUAAUUUCUGAUGUAUGCAGUAUUGACCAUGCUUCUCAUUUUAAUUUCAGUAAUAUUCCAUAGGUAAUAAGUAAUUGGAAAAUAAAUUCUUGCAGGUGAACGCUAAAAGCAAAAAUUAGUCUUUCUAUACUUAGCUGCUGCCAUUUUCUUAUUAUAAACUAAAGAGGCGAAACAAAAUAAUCAUUUAUAAACAAAACACAUCUCACACUGGUUGAAAACUACAGUGAGAUGCAGAUAUUUUGUGGCCAAAACAUUCAAAAAGAAGGCAGGAAGAAACAGCCAUCUCAUUUCUAUAUAGAUUGAUUAUUUUUUCUUUGCAUAUGUAGUUUGACCAUCACAGGUUCAGCUGAAAAUAGUUAAUUCUUCAGAAAACUGACUGUGCCAACCUGUAGGCAGAUGUGAAGGUUAAAAUUCCUAAUUGUUGCUCUGAAAUCAGUUGAUACAAAGGAUGAUUAAAUACAGGGUCAAGACUUCAAAUUUAUUCCUUAGUCAGUAAGAUGUUAAUUUGGUAAGAAAGUGACUACAAAAUGUUUUCUGAAAGAGUCAGAACCCAUUGCUGCAUGUGGAGAACUGCAAACAUACCGACAGCAUGUACGGCUGGUGUUUACAGAGGUCUAUGAAUAAUAAAUAAUCUAGUUAAAUAACCAUUGUUAGAGCUAUGCAAACAAGAGAGCAAAUAAAUCAAGACCUCCUGCUCAUGCAUAGAUACCAACCACAGUACUUUUUCAUUUUUUUUUCUUUGUUUUCUUUGUUUGCUUAAAUAGGAGAGACAAAUAGCGGAUGCAGGUGUAAUCAGCUAAAAAUUGUGAAGCUAGUAAGAAGUGUUUUGGAAAAGAUCACCAAGUGGAUCAAUCCCCCUAUCAGAAACAGUCAGCAGGGGAAAGCAGUUUGCACCAGUAUAUGUACCCUGCCAUUCAGACUGUAUCAAUUUGUUUCUGCAACUGGCAUAAUGUGGCACAGUUCAGAGAGAAUCUCACAUAUGACUGCUGACAUACAGACAUACAGUGCUGGAAGUAAAGGAGAUUCAUGAGCAAAAGUGAAAAGGCUGCUUUUUUUUUUUUUUCACUUUUUUUUUUUUUUCUCCUUCAUAUGGGAAUUCAACUGUUUUAUUUUGUAUAGUGUUAUAUGUAAAAUCCAUUCUUUUAAACUGAUAUUACUACAUUCAGUGCUUAUAGUAUUCUGUUUAUUGUUUCUCUGUGUGAUUGUCUAUCUGUGCAGAAUUUCAUAUGAAAAAAUGAAAUACAUGGAUUACAUAUCAAGUACCUGCUUCCUUGCGUUAUCCUAUCCAGAAAUAAUAAUGUUUUUUAUGUUGAAAGAUGGUUGGGAAAAGGUUAAUUCUGUAUCUGGAUAAGUAAGAUACAUUUAUUUCCUAAUUCUGUAUUUCAUUUCUGGGAAUUUCUAUGAUAUAACCCCCUCUACUUGCCUAUCCAGUUGCUGUUUAAAUAUAAUAAAAUGCAACACUUAUUCAUCUUGAGACUCUUGACAUCUACAUAAAUAUCGCUAUGUGUGCAGAAUGAGUUAGGCACAACCAGUUUAGCACAGAAGCAGCACUGCUGUGUUCUCUGCUCUGCAUUGCAUGUAGUGCUUCAGUGCUUUGCAUAACAGCACAGAAAAGAAGCUUUAGGAGAUCCUUAGGCACAACCUGGGCACAGGAAGGCAAAAGUUUAAUGUGAGACAGGGCUUUUCCUUUUCGUUCUCUAAAUUUAAACACGAGGCAACACCCAAAGCACAGGAUUUAUUAAUGUAUUUGUCACACCU
rnacentral:lncRNA from 1 species